CUCAAACACUGGUUACAACAAUAAAAUGACAAACAAAAGUAUUUCUUUUCACAAAUUAAUAAAACACAUUAAAAUACAAAUCCCUUCAACAGAAAAUAAAUUCAGCACACAACUUUAACAAAUAUUCCACCACCUUGUAUAAAGAAAACCUAUAAUCUAAUUGCUACUCGAUUUAUUUUCAUUUUGAACUGGGUUACGUAAGUAUUUUUAUAUUUUCUCAUUACGCGUUGCUUCAUGUCCGUUCCAAUACAUGUUGAUUUUAGAGAACACAAUUCUUAUUUGUUAGCUAGCCUAUUGCAUUUCCCAUUACAGCGAUGCCUCGCUUCUCGACCACAAUCCGUUCCAGAAAACGGUUCGAGAAGAGAUCUGUUCGAAAAGCGAAUCGAUGUUUCCCAUUACAAUGAAUGGAAAAAGAAAUAAUGCGUUCCAAGCCUAAAAAACAUGGCUUUUUAAAGCAUUUUUUUUAGCUUUUCCUGAUAUUAUUGACAAUAACAAAACACGCCGUGGGUGGGUCAACUGCUUGCACCACGCGCAAUGUUAUUUCUGGGUUUUUUCGGGGGGCGUUCGAAUAGACAAUAACAAAAUGCAGUGUGGGUGGGACAGCUACUUGCGCCGCACACAUUAUGUUAUUUCUGGGGUUUUUCGGCGGCGUGGGAAUUCACAACAAAACGCGUCGUGCGUCAGCUGGGCUGGCCGCGUGCAAUGUGUUAUUUCCGGGUUUUGUCGGGGGGCGUUCGAAUAUCGAUUUUCGUUCGAAUACGGGAGCAAAAAGAUCUCUAAAUUUUCGUUCAAAAACCAAUUUUUUUUUAGAACGAGGACGUUCGAGAACCGAGGCUUUACUGUAUUUAGUUCCAGUAUGUGGUUGUUUUAAAUGUGUGGUGUGUAAUUAUCUUUUGUUUUAUGUUUGUUUUGACAGUAAACUUAAUCGGGAAAUGCAAUUAAUUUUGAAAAAUUGUUCACCAUCUGCUGCUGCUUGUUGCAAAGCGCCGUAGUGGUCCCGGAGAAUAACGUGCAGGACCGCCCGGUAGAACAGCGACUCCAUCUGAAUCUUGUGUGAAACAAAAACAAAAAGCAGCUUUCCGGUGUUUCUGGUACACCUUGGAGAACUUCUUCAGCUUGCGGUUCCUCUCCUGGGCCCCGUGGGUGUUGGCGCUGGACGAGUCGAUGCCGAAGACACGGAGGCCGUGCUGCAGGGACAGGAAGGAGCUCAGCGCUUGGCUAAACAGUCCACCACCUCCGCCAUGGACUGCACCUCAUGCGACUUCUUGCUGUUCAUGAACUCAUCCGCCUCCAAUUCGACGCCUAAAACAGCAUUAAAGUACUCGUCGCGGCUCAUGCAGACCCCCAUCCCGGGAAGCGAGUGGGCCUUGGCUGCACGCAACAGUUCGUGUGCAUCAACCAGUCGCUUUGUGUCUGGGCAAAACCCAAAGGUGGUUCCCCGUUGC